CUGAGUUGAGGCACAUUCGGUUCACUGUCGGCAACGGCAAAAAAUUGCUGGCCGACUGUGGGGCGAGCAUGGCGAGUGAUUCUGGCUGACAGUCGGCAUUUUUCAUGUGGGCCAGAAUCGUUCUGACCACGGCGAGCGAUUCUGGCUGACAUUCGGCAUUUUUCGUGUGGGCCAGCACCAGCUUAGCACCGCUCCGCUGAUAUUUUGUUAGGUAGAUAUUGUGGAUGGACAGUGCCGAGCUUGGUAGCCGAUGCUGGCUGACUGACCAAAUUGCUCAUUUGGUCCUCCGUCGGUUGAGUGCCGUUUUCUGUCGGCUUCUGCUGAAGGGUUUGGCACUCGAAUGUACUUUAUUUAAAGUGUUCUUUUUUGCCUCGACAUGUGCUUUAAUGGUAUAUAGACUUCCAAAACCUUUCAAUCCUGCACAUUUGUGCUUUCCAAUUUUUCCUUGCCCUUUCCUUAUAUUCGUUCCUCCAAAUAUUCAUUACACUGGAAUAAAACAUUAGUCUUGACUCACUAGCUGUCUCUAAUUUUUAUAAAUUAUUAUAGCAUUGUAAAAAGCAUCAUUGCCAUCUCAAUUGUUUUCGCAUGCUUAAUUCACGUAGGCUAAUUCUUUGAGGGAAAAAAUGUUACUUGUUACUAGUUUAUUAAUAGCCUAUAUUUAUUCAUUGCAAACCAUAAUAAAUAAAACUGGUGCAAAGUACUAGAAAAGGCUAAAAGAUAAAUGUGCCUGAAAAAACAUUUUAUAUUAGAUUACAUAGGUCGAACGGUUGUUUGUUAUAUUCACAGUUUUCCCGCACUCUUUUGCCAGAGGUCGUAAUGACGUAACACGUUGUUCUGCUGCACGGCUUUCACGCUCGCGCCUACUGUAGCUCCGCCCAAACGCCAGGACGAAAUCUGUGCACCACGCAGCUCGUUAAUUGGGAGACAAACGAGGUGAGAUGAUUCAUCAUAACUUGUGAUUAAAUAUUAACAACUUGUAUAUGUAACUGUGGAGUAUAAGACGAAGUUGUCAAGCAUUCGAGGGUGGCAACUUGAGUUUGGCGUUAGCUGUAGCUACUGGCUAUUGGUCAGAAAAGGUGCAAGUUAACCAUAUUUUUGGCUUGUUUAGUUAAUUAAGUGCUGACGAAGUGUAGUGAAAUAUUAAAAGUUGUUAUCCAAGAAAGUGUUUGUGUUACACUCACUACCUAGAGUAUUUACCGGUUUAGAACAGGUGCAGACUGCGGUUAAUUUGCUAAUGGACGGAUCCAAUUUAUCUUAUUUAUUUUGUUAAUGUGGUCCUCACUGUAUUUGCUCCAAUUUUUUGAUUUAGUAUUAAUCUAACUGUUUCUGAGAUUUGCAUUAGCAUUGUUCACUAGUCAUAAAGCUGAAUGACACUCGUGGCCGUUGAACGUUGACUAGCAAGCUAACAACCCUUUCAUGAACUUUGGCGCCAAUUUUUAAGCGCCUGUUUUAAAUCUGCGGAGGCAGUGCAACCAAACUGAAAAACAGAGUCGUGAAAAACACUUUCUUGAAUAGCAACUUUCAGUCAUUUUGAUAAUGUUGAUCGUUGGUUUUCCCAACUUAAAUUAAGGAGAAAUAAUUUGAACUGAUACUGUAUUUAUUUAACCCGUAAACCCACCGAUCACGAUUACUGAUAUUUGUCAUUUUUACAGAAGUUUAUUUUAAAUGCAAUUUUUUGUCAUUAACUGUAAUGUUGUGCUUUAUUCCCAGCAGUGAAGUCACAGACUUGAUCUUUACACACCAGGUACAAGUAUGGAUAGGAAAGGUGCUAGAAAGCGAGCAGUUAAAAAAGUGAAUUCCUUGUUGCUUGGUCUUAAAGAGUGUGUGGAAGCUACCUGUGAGAAUUCUGAUGUCUGUAGUGCUGACUUUGCUGAACCUUUAUUUGAUCAAGCCCAUGCCAUGAGUGACAGUGAGUCAGAUAGUGAAAUGGAAUUAGAAGAAGUCUGUGGUUGUGGUGAUGAAGACAACCAGCUAGAAAAAGCAUUAAGCAAGUGGGCUGUUACCUUUGGUGUCCCCCUCAUUGCUCUGACUGCUCUUUUAGGGAUCCUGAGAAUACAACACCCCUUUUUACCAAAGGAUGCUAGGACCCUGCUUAAAACAAAAACAUCAUACAGUGUUCAAAUUCUAGGUGGUGGUCAGUACCAUUACUUUGGCAUUUUAAAUGCUUCAACUCAUAUCUUUGAGAGGCACUGGGCAAAACUUCCAGAUGGCUACCUGUUCAAACUUCAGCUUAAUAUUGAUGGCUUGCCACUUUAUAAAAGUUCAUUAGUUCAGUUCUGGCCAAUUUUGGGGAUGCUUGUAGGAUUUGUAAAGAAGCCAUUUGUAAUUGGUCUCUUCUGUGGUAAUUCAAAGCCAAAUUCUCUCCAUGACUAUGUUAAGGACCUUGUGUGCGAAUUGAAAGAGCUCCGCAAGGGCUUUUUGUUCAAAGGAAAACAAUUCUUCUUAAAUGUGUCCUCUGUUGUCUGUGAUGCUCCGGCUCGGGCAUUUAUUAAAGGGAUCAAGUCUCAUACUGGCUAUGCAGGGUGUGAUAAAUGCAUUCAGAGUGGUGUUUACCUAAACCACAAAAUGACGUUUCCUGAAGUGAACAGUGUUCGCAGAACCGAUGGAUCAUUUAAUAGUAUGAUUGAUGAAGAUCAUCAUGUGCAAAGUUCACCUUUCAAGGAUAUUCCAAUUGGUAUGGUAUCAUGUUUUCCACAUGAUUACAUGCACUUGGUUUGUCUUGGUGUUAUGCGGAAAUUGCUUGAUCUGUGGUUGUGUACAGGUUCUCUGUGUCAUCGAAUAAGUUCUAAACAAAGUGAACUAAUUUCUAAUGAACUUGUUAAACUAAGACACUACAUCCCUAUAGAUUUUGCACGUAAACCUAGAAAGCUGUGUGAAAGGCUGAGGUGGAAAGCAACAGAGUUGCGACAGUUUUUGAUGUAUACAGGGCCGGUAGUCCUGGCAGGUGUUCUUCCUAGUCCAUUGUAUAACAAUUUUAUGUUGUUAAGCGUCUCAAUUUUCAUACUUUCAAGUCCAAGAUUGUGUCAUUCUAUGAAUGACAUUGCUCGCAGUCUAUUGAUAUCAUUUGUGGAGCAUUUCUGUCAGUUAUAUGGUCCUGAAAAUGUAGUCUACAAUGUGCAUGGGUUGACUCAUCUUUGUGAGGAUGUCAUGUUGCAUGGCAAUUUGGAUUCUAUAUCCGGGUUUCCCUAUGAGAAUUACUUGGGGCAGAUUAAGAGAAUGAUCAGAACACCCCAUGGGCAAUUAGCACAGAUUAUACGCAGAAUUUCUGAAAUUAAUACAUCACCAAGUCAUGAGCACAUGAAGGGAAAUCCAAUCUUGAAAAAAGAACAUGUUGAUGGGCCCAUUCCUACUUCAUUUGAGCAGUAUAAAGUUUGUCAGUUUCAUGAAGUGGUCUUGGAUAGUAAAUCCAUAUUUAAAACAUGGAAUGAUGCAGAUAACUGUGCCAAGAUUGGUGAAAGUAUUGCAUUGAUAGUAAACAUCCUGAGCUCACAAGGCAAAGUGUACAUUGUGUUUAGAGAAUAUCAGAGAAAAGACAUUUUUUUUGAGUACCCUAUACGUUCAUGUAAUCUUGGAACGUAUACAGUAUCUAAUCUUUCAUCAACUUUAAAAACUGUUGAACUAACUGAACAUAUACAAAAGUAUGUCAGAUUGCCAUAUAAAGGCAUUUAUGUUGUUGUGCCCCUCCUGCAUUUUAGCACUUGAAAAUGUGACCAGUUUGUUUAAUAUGCAUAGAUGUUGAAUGGAAAUGCUUGUUAUAAAGGAAAGUCUCCCAAAAAUACUUGUUUAUAGGGCAUAAUGUUUUUUUUCCUGCUGUUUUUGAGCAGUAUGUAUAGAGUUGUUGAAUUUGAGGGCACACAUGAGGUAGAGUUAGUGCCUGGUGUGUGGGUGAAAGAAGGUGCCUGCUGGUGGCCCCCAUUCAGAGGAAAACAGCUAGUGAAUGCCAUCAAGCAGCAGAUACUGCCUGAAACCAACUGGACACAGUACAAUGUGCGCCAGAUGUUUGAAACUGAUAAUUUUGAACAAGGACGGAGAAAAGUCAGAGAGGCUGAACUGCACUCAGACUUGCAGUCAGAGGUUGACGAUCUGAACCAAAGGAAGCAGAGGAGGAUAAUGUAUGUAUUGUCCGUUUGAAGGUAUCUGCAGACCAAAAGCUGCCACACACACACCCCUUUACAUGUUCCCUUUCACAUAUAUAUUCAGUGCUUCCCCUAGGUUUACAGCUUGGGGGGGCAGAUGGACACCGACAGGAUUCAUGGUGUUCAUGUGUUUCUUUUCAUGACAGCAGUCAAUAUAACAACUGAACUAAACAUCAGAACAUUUCCUUUUAUGAUAAUUAUCCACAAAGUGUGCAGCUUUUGUCACUGCAGUGUAUCUUUCUGGGCUUCUGGAAGAACAUUUCUAGGCUCUUUUCUGGACCCGGAAUAGGAGAGCUACUCCGGCUGCUACUUGCAGGAGAGCAAGUGUUGCCAUCUUCACCACCCUAGGAGCGUUUAAAAAAACGCAGAUAUUUUUGUCUGCUUUUCAGGCCAAGCCGUCGACUCUCAGCAGCUGCGUACCAGUCAGCUAGUGACAGUGAUGAAGAAAGAGGAGGGAGCAGGGGUCUCCCAGAAGCCCCACCAAUCAGCACUAAAUUUUUCACCACCUUACAGCCUGUCCUAGAUUUAGCUGGACCACACCAUUAUCAAGACGUGAGGCCCCAGCAGACAUCUCUGCCACAGCAUUCAGCACCACCUUCAGUUUGUCAAUCAAAUGGCCAAAGCCUGUGGUCACACUAUUCCCCACAGCAACUCCCAAUGGCUACAAAUGAGACAUGCGAAGCUGUAAUGAAGGAGAUCCUCACUAAGCAGGAAAUGAUCCUUGAGCAGCAGUCACUAAUUCUCAAACUGUUACAAGCACAGCAACAGACCCCCACUGACAACAUUGAAGAAGGACUUCUACCACUGAAAGACCUGGAAGCUCUGCAUGCUUUGGAAGGUCAACUACACAGUCUAGACAUGAGAGAAAAAUUGAUUAAUCAUUUAGGUCUGACUGGAGGAAACAACACUAAGGAGACUGUGUGGAGAAUAAUGAAGAGAACUCUGGGUAACAGCCUGGCAAAAACUAUUAAUUGGAGAGGACUCAAUGGGAAAACCUCCUUUGCUUCCCUUCAACUUAAAGAUGUGAUCACUGCUGCUGUUAGAAAAAAUCCCCUCACCAAACACACAACAAACAAUGAAGCUGAGAAUGUAAUGAAGCGGUGGCUUCAACUUUCUUCAGACCGGGAAGGAGGGAGGAAGCGCAGGAUGGAAAAGUGAAGGAAGAUGAUUGUGUUAUGAUUGUGAUUAUUGUGUUCUCUUCUGCAACUAUUUACAAAGUUUUAUAUGUUUGUUAAAUUAUUUUUUAUUAAAAUUGUAUUAUAAAAUGGA